ACCAAAAGGAAAAAACCUCUAGGUUAGAUUCACAGAAUAGGCCAAUUCCUGACAGUUAAGGCUGAAUCACAAUAAUCUAUUUUGUACAUUUUUUAUCCAGAUUAAAUAAGUUGUCAUCAUCAUAUUUGCUACGAGGUUCCUGACACUGCCUGACUAGGGCACCAACCUCAGGAGACAGUGGCAUCUGGGCAGGAUGCUUCACCACCUGCACCCUGGGCCCCCUCUUAAAGGUUCUCUGCCUGCAAAAUGCUGGAAGGUUGUGUAUUUCGCUUAAUAGGGGGAGGCCUGUCCUAUUGCCCCUUCAGUCUGGAGGGGCUUGUCAAAACACAAAUCAGUAAGAGAGGCCGGACCAGUGUCUAGCACAGGCCCCAAUGCGGCCACAGCGCUUCCGGGUACCUAGGCUAGAAACGGCGCCUGUCCACGAUUGUUUGCGAGCCGGCCAGAGGCGACCCUGGCAUUGGGUCUUCCUCUAACGGAACCCUUCCUCCUGCCGCGCAUCCCGGGGUCCGCCGCCACGGGAUUCCGAGACUUGUACUAGAAGUCGGCUCUGCGGCAGCAGAACCACGUUGGCAGGUCUGGGCCCGUAGGCGCAUGCGCGGCCCGCGCUCUCCCCGCAGACGCCCCUCCCCGCCCCUCCCCCAGGGAACGAUUUGGGCGCGUCUCGGACGGCCAGUACCUGAGGCGCCUGCGUCCGAGCGGCCAGAGCCUUAGUCAGGCUUCUUCGGAGGGCAAGCAUGGCACGGCUUCGAGCGCCGAGAAGGGCAGCGGCCGGUCAGCCUCAUCAAAUCUGAAGAAGGAAGUGGGAGAGGUGGAUCCAACGCUGGCCCAGCUGCAUAGGAGGGCAGUAGCUCUACGUGUAAACUCCAGAUGCUUGUCCUUUGGUGACAUCACUGGCUGGAGGACUGAGAUCAGAGAUUCCCUUCAUUUUAUUCCCUG